UGGGGAAUUUUGCACAAUGGGGGAAACCCUGAUGCAGCGACGCCGCGUGAUUUAGAAGGCCUUCGGGUUGUAAAAAUCUUUUCUAUGGGAAGAAAAUGACAGUACCAUAGGAAUAAGGACCGGCUAAUUACGUGCCAGCAGCCGCGGUAAUACGUAAGGUCCGAGCGUUGUCCGGUAUCAUUGGGCGUAAAGGGUACGUAGGCGGGUAAGCAAGUUAGAAGUGAAAUCCUAUAGCUCAACUAUAGUAAGCUUUUAAAACUGCUCAUCUUGAGGUAUGGAAGGGAAAGUGGAAUUCCUAGUGUAGCGGUGAAAUGCGCAGAUAUUAGGAGGAAUACCGGUGGCGAAGGCGACUUUCUGGCCAUAACCUGACGCUGAGGUACGAAAGCGUGGGUAGCAAACAGG
rnacentral:rRNA from 1 species